GCUUUUUGCUACACAUCCAGGAGGCAGCAGGCGCGCAAAUUACCCAAUCCCAAUUCGGGGAGGUAGUGACAAUAAAUACUGAUACAGGGCUCUUUUGGGUCUUGUAAUUGGAAUGAGUACAAUUUAAAUCCCUUAACGAGGAACAAUUGGAGGGCAAGUCUGGUGCCAGCAGCCGCGGUAAUUCCAGCUCCAAUAGCGUAUAUUAAAGUUGUUGCAGUUAAAAAGCUCGUAGUUGAACCUUGGGUCUGGCUGCUCGGUCCGCCUAACCGCGUGCACUGAUGCGGCCGGAUCUUUCCUUCUGGCUAACCUCAUGCCCUUUACUGGGUGUGCUGGGGAUCCAGGACUUUUACUUUGAAAAAAUUAGAGUGUUCAAAGCAGGCCUUUGCUCGAAUACAUUAGCAUGGAAUAAUAGAAUAGGACGGCGGUUCUAUUUUGUUGGUUUCUAGAGCCACCGUAAUGAUUAAUAGGGAUAGUCGGGGGCAUCAGUAUUCAAUUGUCAGAGGUGAAAUUCUUGGAUUUAUUGAAGACUAACUACUGCGAAGUUUUUUCCCCAAACCUC
rnacentral:rRNA from 1 species